GACGUAGGGCGCGAGCGUUGUCCGGAUUUAUUGGGCGUAAAGAGCUCGUAGGCGGCUUGUCGCGUCGAAUGUGAAAACUCGGGGCUCAACUCCGAGCUUGCAUUCGAUACGGGCAGGCUAGAGUUCGGUAGGGGAGGACUGGAAUUCCUGGUGUAGCGGUGAAAUGCGCAGAUAUCAGGAGGAACACCAAUGGCGAAGGCAGCUCGCUGGGACGUGACUGACGCUGAGACGCGAAAGCGUGGGGAGCGAACAGG
rnacentral:rRNA from 1 species